CUUUAGCCAGGACGAGUCUGGGCGACCCUGGUGGGCCUUCCUUUCCCUUCUAGGUGUCAUCUCCUUCCCUCCCUUUCCCCCAAGACUCCCUCCGGGCCCAGCCAGCAGGUGAAGCCUGACUUAGGGAAGGGGGGAUUUCCAGGGGAGGGGCCCUGGCCCCCACUGACCCAGCAUUGUUAUCCACAGGAGGAGCAGCCCCCACAACAUCGAUCCAAGAGGGGGGGCUCAGUGGGCGGCGUGUGCUACCUGUCGAUGGGCAUGGUCGUGCUGCUCAUGGGCCUGGUGUUCGCCUCUGUCUACAUCUACAGAUACUUCUUCCUUGCGCAGCUGGCCCGAGAUAACUUCUUCCGCUGUGGUGUGCUGUAUGAGGACUCCCUGUCCUCCCAGGUCCGCACUCAGAUGGAGCUGGAAGAGGAUGUGAAAAUCUACCUCGACGAGAACUACGAGCGCAUCAAUGUGCCCGUGCCCCAGUUUGGCGGCGGUGACCCUGCAGACAUCAUCCAUGACUUCCAGCGGGGUCUGACUGCGUACCAUGAUAUCUCCCUGGACAAGUGCUAUGUCAUCGAACUCAACACCACCAUUGUGCUACCCCCUCGCAACUUCUGGGAGCUCCUGAUGAACGUGAAG
rnacentral:sRNA from 1 species